rnacentral:misc_RNA from 1 species
AUGAUGGUGGUAGAAGAAGCGGCACAACCUGAUCCUAUGUUCUACUGUGAGCGGAUGUGUAUCGCCCAUUCUGAGAAGUGAAAAUUGUCUGUGCGAGCUUGCUCUGUUCUAUCAUCUUCCCAAAGAGCACAUGAAGUGUGAAUUCAAUGACAACAUCUCAGAAGACCAACACCUAGUUGGAGCACAUUCAGUAAGAUUAUAAACUCAUUUCUAACAUUAUAUUUGUUAUCAAAUGGAUGCUGGAAGGACUUUGCUUUCUUCUACCCCAUCAUUUCCUCGAAGAACCCACCUCAAGAAUUGUGUCUCUUCUCCUGUUCCUGCAGUUACUCCUGUUCCAACCACUUCUAUAGCUCGAAAUUUUCCUACUUCAGUUCUUUUGCAAGAGCAGCGUGAUGAGUUUAGGCCUCUCCUGAACAUUGUCAAGGAAGAUAGAAUUUCUCAGACAACAGUGGAUAGAAGACAGAUGGAAAUUGGGACCUCAGUCCAUGAAGGGAACAGUGCUUUGGAUCAAUUGGUGCUGGAAUCCAAGUAUUGCUCACUUGGUUGGCCCAAAUUUUGGAAUUUAAUACCUCCUUCACAAACAGCGCAAAUUCCAUCCUGGUCAUUGACUAUGCAGUCUGUCACAGCCAAUACUGACAAGCUUCUGGCUGUUGAACCAUUUAUUGUGAUUGACCUUGCUAAAAAAGCGUUGUCUGCUUCAAAAGAAGCAGCAUUAUUAGCUGAGAAAUGCACUAAUCUCGAUGAUGUAGUUUCUACUAGCUUGAGGUCCACGUGUUCAUCUAAUUUCUCUAUUGGGGAGGUGAAAACUGUUAGGUCAACACGUCAUUUAGGGAGGCAGUCUAAAAAUCGGAGGGUGCCAAAAGCAAAAGAUAUGUUUCAUGAGCCUUAUAAUGCUAGAAAGGCUGAUGUACAAAAAAGGAUAAAUGAAGGAUUUGAUCCAAAGGAUCCACUUCGGUUAUUUUUGUGGGGUCCUGAAACAAAACAACUUUUGACUGCUAAAGAGGAGUCUGAAUUGAUUGCUCAAGUACAGGAUUUAAUGAGGUUGGAGAAGGUGAAAAAAAGUCUUCAGUUUCAAUUUGGCCGUGAACCAUCCAUGGUUGAGUGGGCUGAUGUUGUUGGACUUAGUUGUUCAGUCUUGCAGUCACAACUUCAUGCUGGUAACAGCAGCCGAGAAAAGCUGAUUAAUGCAAAUUUACGGAUGGUAGUUCAUAUUGCUAAACAGUAUCAGGGCCGUGGUCUCAGCCUUCAGGACUUAAUGCAGGUUUAACUGGAACCCAUUUAACCUUAUGGGGUGCAUUUAUUUCUUUCUUUUAAUUAAUGACUGCAAAAACAUGUAAAUGUUAUUUUUUGUUAGUAGAAAAUAUAGAUGUGCUUGUAGCAGCUUUUACUGUAAGAUGUUAUGAUGGCACCAGAGAUGGAAGGACCAGCAAGGUUCAUGGAGCAUGUAUAUCGUUCUGUGAUGGUCUUGGUGUGGUUGACUUUGAUGGAGAUUUUGGGGCUUGGUGUGAAAGGUUGGGUGGGAUUAUUCGAUACAAAGCAUUUGGAUUUAAGGGCAGGUGGCAGUAAUUGGGGAAAAGUUAUAGGAAGGUGUUUAAGAUGGUUCAUUGGCUUGUGACAAUCCCUCCUUCUUUGUUUAAUGUGUUGUAGCCAAUGCCCAUGGAGCCUUGUAAUGUAAUGCACUUUGCAAGUUAAAAAAAAGGCAUAUGAAUAUAGACCUUUAGAUGUGUCAGUAAGAUAUGAUUGCACUUUAGUAGAAGGGACAGAAAAGGAAGGCAUGAGUAGACAAUAAAUGGCUUUAAAAUUGCUUACUAAGUUAUUGUAGGGUAGGAUUUGACUUUCUUAGAUAUUGUGGAAUGCAUAGCUCUGGUUAGAAUGGAAAUUUGGAAUGGAGGAAUUAAGCUUUUUUAAAGAACUUAUUGUAGCAGUUUAUUUGAUGAGCAUAUCUAGCUUCACUAUUUGAUGAGCAUAUUUAGCUUCACUAUUAGAUGAGCCUUCACUAAACAUUAUUAUGAACAUCUAAUCGUGCUGGUUGCUGGAACAUCUUACAUGCUUUUCAAAUUUCUUUGAAAUCCCAUCUUGUUUUGAGGUGGGGUAUUUUCCAUGUCUUUUAAUCUCUAUAAUCAUCUUGGUGGAUACCAUUUUAUUACUUAUUAAACCCAGUGGCCUUGUUAUCAAUUCUUUACUUCCCAUAGGCAUUAGUGUUUUGUUUACUUAAAUAGCAUAAAGGAAGCAAUUAUUAUUUUGACUGGUGUUAUUGGCACUGAAUUGGCAAUAUCCAAUCUUAAGUUCUCUUUUCAAUAAAGAAAUGGAAGAACAGAAGAAUGAAAAUCAGUGAUCGCAAUUAAGGAGGAGAUUAGUUAGAGAAAUGUGCCUGCAUGAGGAUGAAUUGUGAUGAUCUUUUUCUAUUUUUUUGAUAUUCUUCUAGGAAGGAAGCAUGGGUCUUAUGAAAAGCAUUGAGAAAUUCAAACCACAAGUUGGCUGCCGAUUUGCCACUUAUGCAUAUUGGUGGAUAAGGCAGACUGUUAGGAAGGCCAUAUUUCAGAAUUCUAGGACGAUUCGUUUACCGGAGAAUGUCUAUAAUAUCUUGGGCAAAGUAAUGGAAGCAAAGAGGUCAUAUAUUCAGGAAGGAAAUCAUAACCCAACCAAAGAAGAAUUAGCAAAACGUACUGGAAUUACAAUUGAUAAGUUGGAAAGGCUGUUUUUUAUGGCAAGAAUGCCACUAUCAAUGCAACAAACUGUCUGGGCGGACCAAGAUACUACUUUCCAGGUAAGUACUUCUUCUCUUUGUCUUCACCUGAGAUUUAAUCCCUUUGGAAAAUUUUUAUUAGCUCUAUUGUACUUCUGAAAUCUCUUUAGUUGCUCUAGAGCAUGCUUGUGUUUGGCAUAUGAUAAUGCUAUGUGAGUAUUACUUUGCAGGACAAUGACAGUUGGAAUAUCACAUGUUAUCAAAGAUUCCAAAUUUUGUUUAUUAGAACCAAUGAGCAUUAAUACAACACUAUGCUUUCUAGUUGUUAGCAAUAUAUAUUAAAAGUUAUUUAAUAAUUUGUAGAGACUGUUUAAUAUCUUUUGACAUUUGCAACAUUUGCAGGAAAUAACUGCAGACGCUGAAAUUGAGAUCCCAGAUGUGAGUGCAGCAAAACAAUUGAUGAGACAACAUGUUCGCGGGCUCCUGAACAUUCUCAACCUAAAGGAAAGGCAGAUAAUCAGGCUAAGAUAUGGCAUUGAAGAUGGCAAACAAAAAUCACUAUCCGAAAUUGGAAAUGUGUUUGGAUUGUCUAAGGAAAGGGUGCGGCAAUUAGAAAGCCGAGCAUUAUAUAAGCUCAAGCAAUGUCUUGGUAGCCACGGACUCGAGGCAUAUGCAGAUUUACUUGUUUAGAUGUAAUGACCUUCAAGUUCUGUGACAUUUUCAAGCACAACUUGGUGAGACCCUAAUUAAAAUUAGCAAUACUCUGCCUUUUGAAGCCUUUAAAGUGACCUUGGAAUAUAUGUAAUAGAAACUUUGGACUAGCCUAGAUUAGGUUAUUGAUGCUUAGCAAUUCUGAUUUUGUAGUAGAAGCUGAAUGCUUAUUCUUUGAUUAACUCUCUAUUUCUUUGUUAAUACAUUCCUACAUCUUAAAUGGUGGCUUUGAGUUUCUCAGUUCCAUGUCUGGAAUUAUUCUUGUGUGAUAUGCUAAAAGUGUUGCCUUUUUCUCAUUAUUUUUGUGAUCAAUAAGUUCUUUU